rnacentral:rRNA from 1 species
CACGUAGGGGGCAAGCGUUGUCCGGAAUUAUUGGGCGUAAAGCGUGCGCAGGCGGCUCCUUAAGUCAGAUGUGAAAGCCCCGGGCUUAACCUGGGAACUGCGUUUGAAACUGGGGAGCUGGAGUGUAGAAGAGGGGGGUGGAAUUCCAGGUGUAGCAGUGAAAUGCGUAGAUAUCUGGAGGAACACCGAUGGCGAAGGCAGCCCCCUGGGCUAACACUGACGCUCAUGCACGAAAGCGUGGGGAGCAAACAGG